AAAAUAAAUAGGUUAGGGGUUUUAACUUUGGUGACAAAUAUUAUGGGCCAUUCUAAAUACUUUUGAGAUUUUGCAAGAAGGUAAACUACUUCAUUUUACUCGGCUGCAAGAACUAAGGGCAGAAACCAAAAUUCAAGACUUCACGAAGUUAAAAAAAUAGGUUUACUCAUGAAACAAUGGUUAAAAGAAAGGUUAACCGAUUUUUUUAAGAGGAUGACGACUCACCUCCAAGUGGAAGUUUUGGAGUUACAAAGUAAGUGGCAAAUUUAAGGAGUACCCUUCCGUAUUAACCUACGAGCAUUUGAAAAGAAUUAUUUUUCUUGGGUCCUCACAAAUAGAACCUAACAUUGAGAAACCGACAC